rnacentral:rRNA from 1 species
UACCGCGAAGAACCUUACCAGGUCUUGACAUCCUCUGACAACUCUAGAGAUAGAGCGUUCCCCUUCGGGGGACAGAGUGACAGGUGGUGCAUGGUUGUCGACAUCUCGUGGCGUGAGAUGUUGGGUUAAGUCCCGCAACGAGCGCAACCCUUGAUCUUAUUUGCCAGCAUUUUGUUGGGCACUCUAAGGUGACUGCCGGUGACAAACCGGAGGAAGGUGGGGGUGACGUCAAAUCAUCAUGCCCCUUAUGACCUGGGCUACACACGUGCUACAAUGGAUGGUACAAAGGGCUGCAAGACCGCGAGGUCAAGCCAAUCCCAUAAAACCAUUCUCAGUUCGGAUUGUAGGCUGCAACUCGCCUACAUGAAGCUGGAAUCGCUAGUAAUCGCGGAUCAGCUUGCCGCGGUGAAUACGUUCCCGGGCCUUGUACACACCG